AGUGAACGCUGGCGGCGUGCUUAACACAUGCAAGUCGAACGAGAACGGAAUAUAGCUUGCUAUAUUUGUCAGCUAAGUGGCGCACGGGUGAGUAAUGUAUAGAUAACCUGCCCUCUAGAAAGGAAUAACAGUUGGAAACGACUGCUAAUGCCCUAUAUGCCUUUAAUACAUAAGUAUGCAAGGGAAACGCUUUAGUGCUAGAGGAUGGGUCUGUAUGGUAUCAGCUUGUUGGUGAGGUAAUGGCUCACCAAGGCUAUGACGCCUAACUGGUUUGGGAGGAUGAUCAGUCACACUGGAACUGAUACACGGUCCAGACUCCUACGGGAGGCAGCAGUGGGGAAUAUUGCACAAUGGACGAAAGUCUGAUGCAGCAACGCCGCGUGGAGGAUGACACAUUUCGGUGCGUAAACUCCUUUUAUAUAGGAAGAUAAUGACGGUACUAUAUGAAUAAGCACCGGCUAACUCCGUGCCAGCAGCCGCCGUAAAAC
rnacentral:rRNA from 1 species